UACGGAGGGUGCAAGCGUUAUCCGGAUUCACUGGGUUUAAAGGGUGCGUAGGCGGAUAGGUAAGUCCGUGGUGAAAUCCUGCAGCUUAACUGCAGAACUGCCGUGGAUACUAUCUAUCUUGAAUGUCGUGGAGGUUAGCGGAAUAUGUCAUGUAGCGGUGAAAUGCUUAGAUAUGACAUAGAACACCCAUUGCGAAGGCAGCUUACUACACAACGAUUGACGCUGAGGCACGAAAGCGUGGGGAUCAAACAGG
rnacentral:rRNA from 1 species